CUUGGAGAAAACUUGAUUUGAAUAGUUAUAAAUGUACAAAAUCAUAUAUGUAAGCUUACUUGUAAAAGCUUUUCGAAUUUUUCCCCAUAUAGAUAUAACCGGAACUUUGGCUGCAGCUAAAUGAACAACACAUUAGGACCAAGUAACUUUCUGAUUUGAGCCAAAUACACACACACACACACACAGAGGAUGAUACAAAACCGUAAAAAAGCAGCAAAAGGUAUUCUUAAAAUACACAAAAAUAUAAGAUCAGAUGAAUCCCUACGUAUUUGAGUUUUAGAGC
rnacentral:lncRNA from 1 species